rnacentral:misc_RNA from 1 species
GAAAUGCGAUAAGUAAUGUGAAUUGCAGAAUUCAGCGAAUCAUCGAAUCUUUGAACGCACAUUGCGCCUCCGGGUAUUCCUGGAGGCAUGCUUGUUCGAGCGUCGUUAAAGACCAUAAGGCUUUGCCUUGCGAUGAGCUAUUGAUUUUUUGUAACAAAGUUGAUGGCUUCAAACUGAUUGGCGUCUGAAGUUUAGCCCAAGCACAGCAAAAUGUGUCUGAAAGUUAGACGAGAAAAGACUUUUGCCUUGUACACCAAUUUUUAUAUAAAGGUCGACCUCGGAUCAAGCAAGAUUACCCGCUGAACUUAA